AGAGUUUGAUCCUGGCUCAGAGCGAACGCUGGCGGCAGGCCUAACACAUGCAAGUCGAGCGCCCAGCAAUGGGAGCGGCAGACGGGUGAGUAACGCGUGGGGAUCUGCCCAAUGGUACGGAAUAACCCAGGGAAACUUGGACUAAUACCGUAUGUGCCCUUCGGGGGAAAGAUUUAUCGCCAUUGGAUGAACCCGCGUCGGAUUAGCUAGUUGGUGAGGUAAAGGCUCACCAAGGCGACGAUCCGUAGCUGGUCUGAGAGGAUGAUCAGCCACACUGGGACUGAGACACGGCCCAGACUCCUACGGGAGGCAGCAGUGGGGAAUAUUGGACAAUGGGCGCAAGCCUGAUCCAGCCAUGCCGCGUGUGUGAUGAAGGCCUUAGGGUUGUAAAGCACUUUCGCCGGUGAAGAUAAUGACGGUAACCGGAGAAGAAGCCCCGGCUAACUUCGUGCCAGCAGCCGCGGUAAUACGAAGGGGGCAAGCGUUGCUCGGAAUCACUGGGCGUAAAGCGCACGUAGGCGGAUCGUUAAGUCAGGGGUGAAAUCCUGGAG
rnacentral:rRNA from 1 species